GGAGCUGUGGCUGAGUGGUAGAGCAACUGCUUAGCAUGCAGAAGGUCCCAGGUUCAAUCCCUGGCAUCUCCA